CCACUGGUGGCUUAGUGGUUAGCAUGUUUGCCUCAUACCUCCAUGGUUGGGGGUUCAAUUCUCCACCCUGUGUG